rnacentral:rRNA from 1 species
UACGUAGGUGGCGAGCGUUGUCCGGAUUUACUGGGCGUAAAGGGCGUGCAGGCGGUCUGCUAAGUCUAGGGUGAAAGCUCCCGGCUCAACUGGGAGAGGUCCUUGGAUACUGACAGACUUGAGGGAGGCAGAGGAGAAUGGAAUUCCCGGUGUAGUGGUGAUAUGCGUAGAUAUCGGGAGGAACACCAGUGGCGAAGGCGGUUCUCUGGGCCUUACCUGACGCUGAGACGCGAAAGCGUGGGGAGCAAACAGG